GGCAAAUAAGCAUCUCUGAAGAGGACAUUUUAAAAUUUCCACAUCCUUUUUCUUCUUAGCCGGCUAUCUCUUCUUCCAUGCAAUAAAAUUAAUUACAAUUCUUAUGAUUAUCCCUGCUUUUAACCAGCAUUGCCAUAACUAAAGGGGUCCUAAAAUACAGAGUGAAACUCCUUUGACUUCAUGGUAGCCCUGUGUUCGUACAUGUAACAGGCUCCAAUCCUUUAGGAGAGAUAGUUGGGAAAUUCUUCAUUUUCAAUACAAGGCCAUCAAAGUCUUCAAAUCCCACCCCCCCAAAAAAAAAUCUCCAAAUGAAGAUUUUUCUUCCUCAAAAUCAUCAUCUCAUAUGUGUAUAAAAAGUGAUCUUGCUAUGGAAGUGUCCACACUCAAGAGGCAAGAUUAAAAUUUCCCUAUAAUCAAUUAUUCUCAUCUUCUAUUAAAUUGAGAUGGGAAUACACAUUAGAUUUCAUAUCUCAACCCCAGUCCCACUAUAUGACUGAGCUUGCCCCUAAACUUCUGAUAUUAUAGCAUUAGAUAAUUCCUCAAAUCAUAGAGUUGAAAGGGGGGGGGGGAAAUCCCCAAACCUUUCCCUCUGAAAUGAUUUCUUUUCCAUAUCUCUUAUGCUCUUUAGGAGAAAGUUAUAUUGUGUCUCUAAUCAGCCUGAAAAUUUCAGCCUAGUUUCACUCUGUGGCAGUCUUAUUACAUACCAUGUUUAUGAUAGUUCAGUGUCCAUUAUAAAUUGGUAUUUCUUAAAUAUUUAAUUAAUGUCAGCACCUGAAACCUUAGUGAAAUAUGUUAUUUCAGCGAAGAAAGACAAGGCUAAGAGGUU
rnacentral:lncRNA from 1 species